AGGCGGCUGUUGAUUGCUUCACACAUUUCAGAAGUAUUGGUCAGUCUUGGAGUGAAACAGACUGUUUGCUCUGUCUGUAGAGACAAAGCAGCUGCAGUAGGGACCGCCUUCUCUCUCAUUUUGCAUAAAAGAUACCCCAGAAGCUUUCAAAUGUUCCAAAGUUUGAACUCCAUUCAUCUGUGGCGUCAUGGUAUUUCACAAUCACUUUUCAGAGAUAUUAACCAUCUGGGGCUUUCCCUGAGCCACAAGGCAACUGUUGCCAGAAUAGACGCACUGAGACAAGAAUACGACAAUAGCUUGAUGAAGUGGAAAAAUGAAAUUGAGGUGCAUUUGGAAAAUGAAAAUGACAAUGAUGAAGACGAUGAUGAUAUUUAGAUGAUAGUUGAUUUAGAUUUAACUAUGGAUGGAGUUACCCCUAUAGUUGAUGCACCAGAACCUCC